rnacentral:rRNA from 1 species
AUGGGCGAUGUCCGGAUCGUGUCCCGGCGCAUGGUCCGCCCGGACCCUAGCAUCCGCUGGCCGCCGGAGCAUCAGCCGGAGACCAUCCACCCGACGCCGUGGGAUCUCCGGAUGUUGGCCGUGGAUUACAUCCAGAAGGGCGUGCUCCUGCCCAAGACCCCCGCGGCAACCACCCAAGGACAGGGACGCAACAUCCCCGUCGUGGACCGCCUCUCGUCGUCCUUUGCGAGCGCCCUGGGCCGCUUCUACCACCUCGCCGGCCGCCUCGCCGUCAAUGACGACGGGGCCGGAGCCGGCCAAACCAUCUCGCUCCGGUGCAGCAACGAGGGCGCCGAGUUCGUGCACGCCGUGGCGCCGGGUGUCACCGUCGCGGACAUCACCGCCCCGCUAUGCAUCCCGCGGGUGGUCUGGUCCUUCUUCCCGCUCAACGGGGUGCUCGGCGCGGAGGCCGCCACGGGCUCCUGCCCGGUGCUGGCCGCGCAGGUCACCGACCUCGACGACGGCGUCUUCGUUGCCAUGUCGCUCAACCAUGGGGUGGCCGACUGGACCACCUUCUGGCAUCUGUUCAACACUUGGUCGGAGAUCAGCCGGCGUAGUGUCGACGGCGGCUACGACUGCGAGAUCUCCUCGCCGUUGCCGGUGUUCGAGAGGUGGUUCCCGAACGGCUGCGCCGUCCCCAUCCCUGUACCCUUGGGCAAGCUGGACGACAUCGUGGGGCAGCGUCGACGUGCAUAUGGCCAGCGCCCGCCGGUGCUGGAAUGCUUCGUGCGUUUCUCCGGGGAGAGCGUGAAAAAUCUCGUGUCGAAGGCGAACGCCGAGAUGUCAGGAUCUGGCACCACCAUCUCCUCGCUGCAGGCCAUGCUCGCGCACCUGUGGCGCGCGGUGUUCCGCGCCAGGAGGCUGGCGCCAGAGCAGGACACGCGGUACGUCCACCUCGUCGGAUGCCGGGGCCGCGCGGACGGCAUGCCGGCGGCCUACUCUGGCAGCGCAGUCUCGCACGUCGCGGCCGAUUCCACCGCCGGCGAGAUCCUCGAGAAAGGGCUGGGCCGCGCGGCGUGCUUCGCGUUGCCGCCGGCGCUCGCGCGGGGCGCCGAAGCUCCUGCGCUGCUGUUCACGGGGAGCUCGCCGCGUAUCGACGUGUACGGCAACGACUUCGGGUGGGGCGCACCGGUGGCGGUGCGGAGCGGCGGGGGGAGCAAGCUGGCCGGGAAGGCGACGGUGUACGAGGGCGGGUGCGCCGCCGGGAGCAUGGCGCUGGAGGUGUGCCUCGCCCCGGAGGCGCUCGACAGGCUCGUCGCCGACCAGGAGUUCAUGAGCGCCACCGUGCCAUGA